rnacentral:rRNA from 1 species
UACGUAGGGCGCAAGCGUUGUCCGGAAUUAUUGGGCGUAAAGAGCUCGUAGGCGGUCUGUCGCGUCUGCCGUGAAAACCCGAGGCUUAACCUCGGGCUGGCGGUGGAUACGGGCAGACUAGAGGUAGGUAGGGGAGAAUGGAAUUCCCGGUGUAGCGGUGAAAUGCGCAGAUAUCGGGAGGAACACCGGUGGCGAAGGCGGUUCUCUGGGCCUUACCUGACGCUGAGACGCGAAAGCGUGGGGAGCAAACAGG